rnacentral:rRNA from 1 species
UACGUAGGGCGCAAGCGUUUGUCCGGAAUUAUUGGGCGUAAAGGGCUCGUAGGCGGUUUUGUCGCGUCGGGAGUGAAAACACUGGGGCUUAACCCAGUGCUUGCUUUCGAUACGGGCAGACUAGAGGUAUGCAGGGGGAGAACGGAAUUCCUGGUGUAGCGGUGAAAUGCGCAGAUAUCAGGAGGAACACCGGUGGCGAAGGCGGUUCUCUGGGCAUGAUCUGACGCUGAGGAGCGAAAGUGUGGGGGAGCGAACAGG